rnacentral:lncRNA from 1 species
GCUCCGGCAGUCUGCGCCCUCUCUGCCUGCCCGCGGGUCCCGGGCCUCGGAAGGCAUGAGGCCCCCAGCAGCCGCGUCUGGGGGGUAAGUACGGCCGGGGUCGACCCCACCCCCGCACGUGGCUGCGCCGUAGUAACGGAGGGAGGGGGCGCUCAGACCGCUGGGUCCGCAGGGGUCGCUCGCGCGCUCCCCCCCCCCCCACUGCGCUUUACAUACCGCAGCGUGGGAAGGAGGGGGUGUCACCGACUCCAGCCUCUCCUUGCCCGCCCCCUCCUUCCAGACUUCCUCAGUCAGCACCGGAGCUGUAGCAGGAGAGACUUGAGAUAGACUCCGGGAAGACCGCUCUGAUCAAGACCAGCCAGUCAGAGGAGGCGGCGGCGGACUUUGCCCAGGAUCUCUUUCAACUCCUCCAGAAGAGGCCUCCCCCUCCCCCAGCAGCCAGGCUGGGACCUUGGCAGGAGGCAGGGGGCUGCCAGUGCUGGGCGCAGGGCCUCACCGGACAGACUCUGCUCUCGGCUCUCCGGUCGGCCCAGGCAAGGCUAUUCCUAGGUUGCGGCGUUUCCGAUUCGGGCUGCUUGGGAUGAAUCAUCCCCAUUUCCCGCCGCCUGGCCUCCUUUUCAGCCUCCUCCGCCCGAGGCCUCAGUGGACCGCGUCCCAGCCAGAGCAGCAACGCCCAGAGCCCCAGGGUUCGGGCUGCACAGCUUAAACCCCUCCCAGCUACAGGAUGUGCUGGGUCUGCGACCUGAGGACCAGAUCCCGGCCGGGACAGGAGCAGCAGGGCUAUAGGUGAUGUGGGCCCCACCGAAGGGAGGGCGCGGAACGACACGCAGCCCCCAUCCAGGCCCCAAAAGAGGAGAGUUAGGACUCGCUGUCCUGGAGUGCGUCCUUACUCCCCCACUCUGAUUUCUAAGCAGCUGCAGCCCUGAAGGCAUAGCCAAGCCUCAGGGAGGAGGAUUUGCCACCCUGCCCACGCCCCAGCCGCACCCCGAAGCCCAAAACAGGACACCAUUCCUGCCUCGGACAGCACUGCCCCAGGUCCGAGGCCUAGAUAGAGUCGUAGCGUCUACCGCGUCCAAAGACUGGUUUUCAUAGGUGGAAACUGCGGCCUGACGGGGGUCACACCGCCACACGAGGCGGGGGCUCCAUCUCGGCCGACGCCGGGCUCCUGACCCUACCCCUGGGCAUGGCACACCUCUGGGCAUAGCCACAGGCGCGUCCAGGGAGCAGGCGAAGCCCAUUACCCCCUUAUCCCUGGGUAUGGAACCUUUUCCCAGUCCAAGACAGCAGUGACCACCUCUUCUCAAGCUAGAGCUGGCGCCCCAACCCCAACUCCUGAAAGGUCACUCCUGAGCCCGGGCCAGUCCCUGCCAGGAGGCGAAAGCAUGCAAAUCAGAGACUCGUGGACAUGUUCAGAGACCCCAAGACUGGUGGGCUUGGGACGACGCUGAGGACCCCAUGGAGGCGGAAACUAGAGUCACAGCCGGAUGAUCCCAAGGCGCGGGAAGUUGUUCACAGCCCCAUACUCCGGGGUCCCGCCACCGCCCGCGUACCUACUCCGGCCUGGGGAAAAGGAAGGACCAGGAUCCCGCCCCUGUACCUCUCCCGAGGGAGGAGCCAAAGAAAGUUAGGGAAAGUGGGUGGCGGGCCCGUGGCUCCUGUCCUGCUCACCUGGAGCUGCCGCGCCGGAGUAGGUCCGGGUCCGAGUCCGCGCGCCGCGGUUCCCCGCACCUCCUAGAUCUCCACGGAGCCCCGCCCCGGCCCCGCCCCGCGCCGCUCG